rnacentral:tRNA from 1 species
AUUAAUGUAGUUUAAGCAAAACAUUACAUUUUCACUGUAAAAAUAAAGACUUCUCUUUCAUAAAUA